UGGGGAAUCUUGCACAAUGGGCGCAAGCCUGAUGCAGCAAUGCCGCGUGUGUGAAGAAGGCCUGCGGGUUGUAAGGCACUUUCAGUAGAGACGAAAAGCUUAAGGAUAAUACCCUUGAGUCUUGACUUAACCUACAGAAGAAGCACCGGCUAACUCCGUGCCAGCAGCCGCGGUAAUACGGAGGGUGCGAGCGUUAAUCGGAAUCACUGGGCGUAAAGCGCGCGUAGGUGGUUUGCUAAGUCGGAUGUGAAAGCCCCGGGCUUAACCUGGGAAUUGCAUUCGAUACUGGCAGACUAGAGUGUGGUAGAGGGAAGUGGAAUUCCGGGUGUAGCGGUGAAAUGCGUAGAUAUCCGGAGGAACAUCAGUGGCGAAGGCGACUUCCUGGACUAACACUGACACUGAGGCGCGAAAGCGUGGGGAGCAAACAGGAUUAGAUACCCGGGUAGUCC
rnacentral:rRNA from 1 species